rnacentral:tRNA from 1 species
GUAGAUAUAGUUUAAACAAAACAUUAGAUUGUGGUUCUAAAAAUAGAAGUUAAACUCUUCCUAUUUACC